CCUACGGGAGGCAGCAGUAGGGAAUCUUUCACAAUGGGCGAAAGCCUGAUGGAGCAACGCCGCGUGCAGGAUGAAGGCCUUCGGGUUGUAAACUGCUUUUAUAAGCGAGAAAUAUGAUGGUAACUUAUGAAUAAGGAUCGGCUAACUACGUGCCAGCAGCGGCGGUCAUACGUAGGAUCCGAGCAUUAUCCGGAGUGACUGGGUGUAAAGAGUUGCGUAGGUGGCAAAAUAAGUAGCUAGUGAAAUCUGGUGGCUCAACCAUUCAGACUAUUAGCUAAACUGUUAAGCUCGAGACCGUUAGGGGUAACUGGAAUUUCUAGUGUAGGAGUGAAAUCCGUAGAUAUUAGAAGGAACACCAAUAGCGUAGGCAGGUUGCUGGGACGGUUCUGACACUAAGGCACGAAAGCGUAGGGAGCAAACGGGAUUAGAUACCCUAGUAGUC
rnacentral:rRNA from 1 species